rnacentral:rRNA from 1 species
GAUGAACGCUGGCGGCGUGCCUAAUACAUGCAAGUCGAGCGAACAGACGAGGAGCUUGCUCCUCUGACGUUAGCGGCGGACGGGUGAGUAACACGUGGAUAACCUACUUAUAAGACUGGGAUAACUUCGGGAAACCGGAGCUAAUACCGGAUAAUAUAUUGCACCGCAUGGUUCAAUAGUGAAAGACGGCUUUGCUGUCACUUAUAGAUGGAUCCGCGCCGCAUUAGCUAGUUGGUAAGGUAACGGCUUACCAAGGCAACGAUGCGUAGCCGACCUGAGGGGGUGAUCGGCCACCCUGGAACUGAGACGCGCUCCAGACUCCUACGGGAGGCAGCAGUAGGGAAUCUUCCGCAGUGGGCGAAAGCUUGACGGAGCAACGCCGCGUGAGUGAUGAAGGUCUUCGGAUCGUAAAACUCUGUUAUUAGGGAAGAACAAAUGUGUAAGUAACUAUGCACGUCUUGACGGUACCUAAUCAGAAAGCCACGGCUAACUACGUG